rnacentral:tRNA from 1 species
GAGGGUAUAGCUCACCAGUAGAGUGCCUGCUUAGCAUGCACGAGGUCCUGGGUUCAAUCCUCAGUACCUCCA